CAGGACGAACGCUGGCGGCGUGCCUAAUACAUGCAAGUCGAACGGUCUUUCUAUGGAAGCUUGCUUCCACUGAGAAGAUAGUGGCGAACGGGUGAGUAACACGUGGGUAACCUGCCCAUAAGAGGGGGAUAACAUCCGGAAACGGGUGCUAAUACCGCAUAGUUUUCUUGAUCGCAUGAUUGAGAAAGGAAAGACGGCCUUUGUGCUGUCGCUUAUGGAUGGACCCGCGGCGUAUUAGUUAGUUGGUGAGGUAAUGGCUCACCAAGACGAUGAUACGUAGCCGACCUGAGAGGGUGAUCGGCCACAUUGGGACUGAGACACGGCCCAAACUCCUACGGGAGGCAGCAGUAGGGAAUCUUCCGCAAUGGACGAAAGUCUGACGGAGCAACGCCGCGUGAGUGAAGAAAGGUUUUCGGAUCGUAAAACUCUGUUGUCAGAGAAGAACAAGUUGGAGAGUAACUGCUCCGGCCUUGACGGUAUCUGACCAGAAAGCCACGGCUAACUACGUGCCAGCCGCAGC
rnacentral:rRNA from 1 species